CGAGGGCAGAGCGUUUGGCGUCACGUGAGAGCGAGUUCGUUUCAGGUGGAAGCAAAACUACCUUUGCUCUGACCGACCUUGUGCGGCAAACACGAGUCAGGUUCGCUAUCCGAACGGGGAGCGAUGCGAAAGAUGAGAUCUUGCACUUCCGCGGCCAGCGCGAGAUUCUGGGUGGUGGCGCUGGCCUUGAUGGCAGCAGCGUCGUCGUCUCUUGCCACCGCGGAUGGCGACGGGACGGAGAGGAUGAGGACUAGAAGCGGAAGCAAGGGAAAGGAGCAAAUCCCUGCUAGGGUUCAAGGAGACGAAGGGGAACGCUUCCUAUCGGUGCUCUCCUUCCGGCCCUUGCCUUGCCUGCCAAUACUCCCUGAAGUGAAACUGGGUAUCGCGUGCCUUACAAAUGCACAGAAAUAACAAACAUGGGAAAGAAAGACUACAAAAAUAAAGACAAUAAAAGACUCUCCUCUAUUCAAGAGAAUUCCACCAUUGUUGUAAAGGAGAAGUUGUUUGAUGUCCACAAUUACAAGUGGAGAAAGCUUUUGGAUGAUUCCUCAAAUCUGAACACAGGGAAUGUCAGCUACAUUACGUAUUGGAGCUUUGUGCCUGUUGCGGUCAAAGAGAAGUUGUCUUUUCUUGGAUUCAAGGUGAUCAUGGUGGGGUUAGUACUUAUAAGUGGACCAAUAGUGUACUUUCGGCAAAAAUGCCUAGUAGCAAUUCCAGGAGCGGAUUCAUGAGGGUUCCCAUAAAUGCCCUUAGGUUUUGAUGAGUACUAAAUGGAAGGCAAAAUACUAUGUCUGGUGCAUGUAGGCACACUUGUUUACUAGCUUAUUGCCAAAUGCAUCUGGACAACUUUCCUAUAAUGACUGUCGAUAGGGUAUUAUAAAAUUGGCAUUUCUUUAGCUUCACAGAUCAAGAAUCUGAUGCUUAACUACAUGUUUGCAUCAUUUUUCUUAUUCAAUUAUUAUACAAAUAUCUCGUCUCUGGGUUCCCUUUUGUUAGAAAACUUUGCAAGUCUGUGUCCGAUGAAUUCUACAUUGAACAGAAGAGUCGAAUCCAGAGGAAUAAUGCAAGAACCAGGGAAUUCUCAACACAAUUCCGUGGGGCAAAACUAGGGAUGCAACUCUUGUUCAGCACACGACACUUCAGCAUGCGUGGUUGUCAACUGAACCGUGAUCGAUGCUUUACUUGACGAAUGUGCACUGAGCAAUGAACUCAAAAAUCAGGGAACUAUCAAUGAAUUCAACACCCAUUUUCCAAUAAGCUAUAUUGUGUUGCAACUUGGCCAUUUUACAAACCUCUGGCAACUGCAAGAGGAGAAGAACAAAAUCACCACUCUCUUUCACUGGCCUUUGCCUUCUGGUAAGGCAAAGACCCAGCCUCUCCCUCAAUUCUUCCCCUCAGAUCCACAAGCAAGCACCUGACUGUUUCAAUCUCGGCUUCAAGCGCAGUUUGGCCCUGAAGCCUCCUCAUAAGCUGUUGGUUGGUCUUUUCUUAGCUUUGUUUGGUGUAGUUAUAACUACAGAUUGGUAUGACGUGCAUCAAAGUGCCAUUUCUUUUUCAACUUCAUGGAAGGAUCAUUUCUCCAACUACACCCAUUUUAUUCCAUUCAUUCAUCUCCUUCUACCACCCGUUUCUUUAACUCGAUUCUUUAUGAUAAUAACAAUAAUAAUUUAGGAAUACAUAAUUCUUAUGGGGCAUGUGCAGGUGUUGUUGGGAGUUAGUACGAGAUCUAGUAGUGGUUGUUGAACUUUCUAUUGAAAAAAUGGCAAUGAGGAAGCUAUUUCUUAAA